rnacentral:lncRNA from 1 species
ACAGAGACACUUGUAAACUCGGUUGGGUUGCGCCCACGAAUGCCAUUCCGGAAUGAGGUUUCAGUGCGAUGAGUGUCGCAGUUUCUGUUGGACAGUUCUUGAGCCGGCUACCCUCGGGGUGGUGUAUGGCGCAGCUAGAUACAGGCAGGGUGGGUCCGUUUUGGGCAGCCCGGGUGAGAUAGUGAGUGACGCUUUUCCCUACCUUUAGUGAGGUUGUGACGUGAGUGGAGUCUUAGCCGUCCUGUUGGACCUUUUCUGAAACCGACUACUCUUGAGAUACGGUGUAGUCUAAUUAGGCGAGACGGGUGUAUUCACAGUCUUUGGAGAGUUUUCUCCGCCGGUUACUCUUGAGAUACGGUAUAGUCUAGUAGACGAGACGGGUGUAUUCACAGUCUCUAGAGAGUCUUCCCCGCCGGUUACUCUUGAGCUACGGUGUCACCUAAUUAGACGGGAUGGGUGUAUUCACAGUUCCUAGAGAGUUUUCUCCACAAGCUACUCCUGGAGUAGGUUACGGGUUCGAUCCGACAGGCGGGACGGGUGUGUUCACAGUCCCUAGUGAGAUUGAGUCAGUUGUGACUUUUACUACAGUUGGUUAGUGUAGAUCAUGCUAGUGUAGCGAUAUGUAGCUGUAGAUUUUUUUCCAGCUUUUCCUGCUAGCCUUGUUACUUUCUAUAGACUUAGUGGGUGGACCGAUGAUUGUUGAGGGCUGCACCCACUGAGGACUACUUGUUUCUACAGUAGUUCUCACGCCCAUUUGUUACCCCGUUUUUACAAAGCCAUCGUCUUCGGCCGCUGCUGUUGCUGAUCAGGAUAUAGGCAAGGGCGUCACGAAUUAGAGCCCUACCCGAGGAGCAGAGCUAGAGGCACCCCUACUGCAGGUAGAUGUUUUGGUUUGGGUUCAUGUACAUACAGACUUUUAACUCGCCAGCGCGAGUAGUUUUGUACUCUGGGAUUCAGUGUAUGUAUAUGAAACUCGGUUUCUUUUAAUUUACUAGUUCUUCUAGCAGCUCUAUACUACUGUUUGUAGUAUUGUAUAUUUUAUAGGUACAGCUGUCGUUUCGUAUACAGGGAAAAUUCCUUUGUAUACGCUGGAUUUGUCGGCGUGCCCGGGAACGUGUAAUCCGGGACGUGACAGAUUAAGUUGGUAUCAGAGCUUAGCAUUAGGUCGUUGGGACCUAGAGGACCUAAGUUUGGCAAAUCUUAGAAAAGCAAGACGCAAGAGGCGUAAUUUAAUUGCGAAAGUCACUGAUUAGUUGUUCUAACUCCUUCAUGAGUGGGGUGAGUGAUUAAUGGAGUACCUGUUUUGGCCUGAGAAACUAUGUUGGCUGCAGACGACAUAAUUUUGGAGGAAAACAGGGGCUGCCUUCUAGACUUUCGUUGAUUGGGUCGAGAGUGUUUGUGUGUUAUCUGACCCCGUUUUGUUUCUUUCAGAUCGUUGUCGAGGUCGACCGUCGACCAGGGAUCGAGUCGCACCGCUAAAGAUGCCUGACCAGGCAGAGCUGAGUGCACGACCGGAGGCAAGUACACCCCCUGAUUUGAGAGAGCUGUUGGCUGCCCUGACAGAGGUGAUCAAGCAGCAGAGUGUACUAUCGCAGAGGAUUUAUGAGAUUAUCACUCAGUGGUCAGGCGUUGAGACAGGAGCAUUUGUGCAGCAGGCACUCUUGGUGGGAUACGGAGUUACACCCGUCCAGGAGCGGACUGUGGCACUGGGGCAGAGCCAAGACAGGAAGUGUCAUUUUCCAGAUGAUGGAGGACAAGCGAGUAGCAGACGUCCGCUGAGGCUUUCUCGAUCUUGCUCUCAGGGUCGUAGUUCAUCGGGGCGUCAGCAUUCCAGGGGAUUGCUUCAGCAGGGACCGUCACCGAGGACGCUGCGGUGCGUGAUUUGUGGAGGACCACACUGGCCCCGACAAUGUGAGCAAAAAGAGGGCCACUGCUAUACUUGUGGACAGCCAGGAUAUGUGAGGUCACCGUGUCCUAGAGCUACAUUUCCAGCACUAUCCAUUACAUCAGCGUAGCCAGCUGACCAGUAGACUUUUGGAGCACCACCGAGUUACCGCCGGGAGGACUCUUCAGCAGCCGAUCGUGUAGUAGCAGGUAUCACUUUGAUUUUCGGCAUUUGUACUCGUACUUUAGUUGGUACCGGUGCCUCGCAUUCUUUUGUUAGCCGAGCAUUUGCAUUGUUGCAUGGUCUAGAGUUAGGGUCAUUGUCUUUGGCACGAGAGAUGCAUAUCCCCGACCAUGUUUUACAGGUUGCAGAGUGUUGUUGGUCGUGUCCGGUGCAGUUAGAUUCGUGGUUUAUGCCCGCAGAUCUGUUGGUGUUAGAGCAGCUGCAGGACUUCGACAUCGUGCUCGGUAUGGAUUGGCUGGCGUGGUACUAUGCUACGAUAGACUGUGGAGCGAGGACGGUGACGUUCUGCGAGCCAGGCCAGGAGGAGUUUACGUUCGGAGGCUGCAGGAGUACGUUGUUUGCCACAUGGAUAUCUUCGGCGAGGGCUCGACAGAUGCUGAGUAGUGGGUGUAUCGCUUUUCUAGCGACAGUUGUAGAGGUACCUACGGCGGCGCCGGGACUCGAGGAUAUCCCUAUAGGCUGCGAGUUUCCGAAUGUAUUUCCCCCUGAGUUGACUACGUUGCCGCCGAAGAGGGAGAUUGAGUUUAUGAUUGAUGUAGUUCCUAAAACUGCACCAAUCUCGAAGGUACCUUAUAGGAUGACGCCAGUAGAGCUAAGAGAGCUAAAGGCGCAGCUGCAGGAUUUGAUGAUAGAGGGUUUGUGAGACCCAGUAUUUUCGCCUUGGGGGGCGCUGGUGUUGUUUGUGAAGUAGAAGGAUGGUUCACUUAGGCUGUGUGUGAAUUACCGGGAGCUGAAUAAAGUGACCAUCAAGAAUAUGUAUCCCUUACCACAUAUUGAUGAUUUGUUUGAUCAGUUGCAGAAAUCUUAUGUCUUUUCGAAAAUUGAUCUCCAGUCAGGUUACCACCAGUUGAGGGUGAGGGCAGAGGAUGUUCCCAAGAUGGCUUUUUGGACUCGGUACGGGCAUUAUGAGUUUACAGUGAUGCCUUUUGGAUUGACAAAUGCCCUUGCUGCAUUCAUGGAUUUGAUAAACAGAGUGUUCAAGCCGUUCUUGGAUAAGUUUGUGGUAGUCUUCAUCGACGAUAUCCUGAUUUACUCCCAGAGCGAUGCUGAGCAUGAGGAGCAUUUGAGAAUUGUGCUACAGCUUCUGCGAGAGAAGAAGUUGUAUGCCAAGUUGAAGAAGUACGAGUUCUGGUUGUGGGAGGUGCUUUCUUGGGCCACGUGAUUUCAGCUGAGGGCGUAGCAGUGGACCCGAAGAAGAUUGAGGCGAUUCGAGAUUAGCCUAGACCGACGACGAUGACUGAGGUACGGAGUUUCCUAGGACUGGCAGGAUAUUACCGUCGGUUUGUGGAAGGCUUUGCGAAGCUUUCCACGCCCCUCACACGCUUGACGCGGAAGGGAAUUCGAUUUGUCUAGAGUGACGACUGUCAGAGGUGCUUUGACGAGUUGAGACUGAGGUUGACAUCGGCUCCUAUCCUUACCCUUCCGGUGAUGGGGGAAGGAUUCGUGAUCUUCAGUGAUGCAUCGCACAGUGGACUUGGCUGUGUGCUGAUGCAGUAUGGUAGGGUAAUUGCUUAUGCUUCACGGCAGUUAAAGGAUUAUGAGAAGAAUUACUCUACGCAUAAAUUGGAGCUUGCCGCGGUGGUAUUUGCUUUGAAGUUCUGGCGGUAUUACUUGUACGGCGAGCACUGCGAGGUCUUUACUAAUCAUAAAAGUCUCAAGUGUCUGUUCACACAGCGGGAGCUGAACCUGAGGCAGCGCCGGUGGUCGGAGUUACUGAAGGACUAUGAUAUUAGUAUUCAGUAUCAUCCCGGCAAGGCGAAUGUUGUGGCAGAUGCGUUGAGCAUGAAGUCAGUGCAGAGCCUGAGUUUGACGAUCACUGAACAGAGACCCCUACUCGAGGAGCUACAGCGGCUGGGACUCGAGAUAGUACCUCCUGGUUCUACGGCGAGGCUGACGUCUCUAGUUUUGCAGCCCACUCUGUUGGAUAGGAUCCGAGAGAAACAUAGUGGAGAUCCGUACUUGUUGAGGAUUAGAGAGUAGCUAGACAGAGGGCAGGCUGAGGGUUUUGCUGUGAACAGUUCGGAAGUACUGCGGUACAGGGACCGACUGUGCGUGCUUGUGGAUUCAAAGAUUCGAGCAGACAUUCUGAGAGAGGCUCCUUGUUCUCCUUAUACGGUUCACCCUGGGGGAACCAAGAUGUAUAAGGAUUUAAAGGCACAGUUCUGGUGGCAUGGAAUGAAGAGGGACAUUGGCAGAUAUGUGGCUCAGUGUUUGACUUGCCAACAGGUGAAGGCCGAGCAGCAGAUACCUGCUGGCAAGCUUCAGAGUCUGCGAGUGCCAGAGUGGAAGUGGGAGUACAUCACGAUGGAUUUUAUCGUGGGAUUGCCUAGAGCACAGAGUGGUUGUGAUGCCAUUUGGGUGAUAAUGGACAGACUGACCAAGUCUGCUCACUUCCUACCAGUUCAGACUAUCUGGUCCAAAGAGAGACUCGCGCAGCUAUACCUGGAUGAGAUCGUCAGGCUCCACGGCGUGCCAGUGUCGAUUGUGUCAGACAGAGACCCGAGGUUUGUAUCCCAGUUUUGGAGGAGCCUUCAGACAGCCUUGGGCACUCAACUGCAUUUCAGCACGGCGUUCCACCCACAAAUUGAUGGUCAAUCAGAGAAGACCAUACAGACUCUAGAGGACAUGCUGAGGGCAUGCGUCUUGGAUUUUGGAGGAGGGUGGUAUCGACAUGUGAGACUAGUUUAGUUUGCGUAUGACAACAGCUAUCAAACGAGCAUUCAGAUGGCUCCGUUUGAGGCGUUGUAUGGACGUAGAUGUCGAUCCUCUCUGUUUUGGAGUGAUGUGGGUGAGAGGAGGACACUUGGACCGGAGAUUCUACUUGAGGCUGAGGAAAAGGUGAGAGUCGUUGACGACACCUUUUGACAGCACAGAGCCGCCAGAGGAGCUACGUCGAUACCAGGAGACGAGACUUGAAGUUUCAGGUUGGAGAUCAUGUUUUCCUCAAAGUCUCGCCGUCCAGAGGGAUACGCUGAUUUGGGGUACGUGGAAAGCUCAGUCCACGGUUUGUUGGUCAUUUCGAGGUAUUGGAGCGAGUUGGACCGGUUGCAUACAGGAUAACUCUACCCCCGCGAUUUGCUGGCAUACACGAUGUUUUCCACGUCUCAGUAUUGAGGAGAUACGUUUUCGAUCCCUCUCACGUAAUCGACUUCACUCCACUAGAGAUUAGCGAGGAUCUGAGAUACGAGGAGCAACCGUUGCGGAUUCUUGCUCGGGAGACGAAAGAAUUGCGCAAUCAGGUCAUUCUGUAUGUGAAAGUGCAGUGAAGCGAUCACGAGGAACGGGAGGCGACUUGGGAGCCUGAGACGGGGAUGAAGGAGGCAUAUCCCUAGUUGUUUGAUGCCUGAGCUGAGGUGUACUUAAGUUUCGCGGACGAAACUUUUUGUAGAGUGGAAGGAUGUGAGAUUCCCGGUGUACUGUUGUGGAGGCUUGUCGGCAGCUCUGGAGAGUGUCGGGACAAGUCCGAGUCGCGUUGGCGUCAAAUAGACGCAAAAUGGACUCCGUACGACGCGAGGGCAGCUUAUAGCGAAGAAAUCUGUAAAACAGCAGAUUUCUCUGCUUGCUGUACUGGUACAACUAGCGUGGCUGUACCGGUACAACCAGCGAGGCUGCGCGCAGGUUGCCCUCGGGUUGGAUCUUGUACCGGUACAGGAGCCCGUGUGCCGGUACAAGGGGGUAGGUGAGAGGGUAUUUGAGUAAAUUUCCACCUCGUUUGUAUCAGCAGCUCUCCCUCUCUCUAUAUAGCUUUGUGUAGAGAGAGAGAGGAGUCCUUUUGCUUCAUCUUCAUCUCUCUCUCACUCUCAUCCGGUUGAAGGCAAGGAAGAAGCUCGGUUGGAAGGUUUGUCGCCGACGUCGCGCUGCAGGACCGUUUGAGCACACUUUUGACGCCGGGGUAGCGCAAGGAGGCCGGGCGAGCGUGGGUUUUCGCCGUUCUUGCUGUCGCAUUGGUGCUUGGCGUUGUCGAGGUGGGUAAUUCAGCAUUUCCAUUUGUUUUUGGGCAAGUUCUUACUACUUCGAACUCAAGUGAUGCUGUUUUGCUGAAAUUCAUCGUCGACUGUUAGUAUUUCAGCUCGUACUCGACGCAGGAGCAUCGGAUUUUGACGAGACUUGGUUCGCUGGAUUCAGGACUUCGAGAGGAAUCCACUAAGUCCUUACUUGCGGGAUUUGGUGAAGUUUAUCUUGGUCGAAGCUCUGUUUUACUCUACUGUUGUGGAUUUUGGACUGAAUUGAGGAUUUUUGAUGUUUAUAGUUGGAGAUAGCUCGAUUUCGGGACUCGGACAUUUUCAGUCGAUCCAGCAGGUUGUUCAGCAGCCGAGGGAGUUCCGUGCUGCCAGGGAUUAGCGACCGAGGUGGGUUAAUCAUCGGCUUACUCGUAAGUGCAUAUAUAGUCAACAUGUAUUAGCGGAAUUCUUUUGCGUGUCGCAAUUGCUCGGUUCGUUGAUUUAGUUUUGUAAUAAUUUGAAUUGGAGCUUAGUCUAUUUAUCUAUGGAUAUACAUACAUGUUGGACUUGGAUAAGACUUAGGAGAAAACUUACAAUUUUAAUUGUCAUAUGUUAAACUACCUGAUUUAGCCCUAGGGGCUGUUGUAUGAUUUUAUACUGUUGCAGUAUCAUCAUAGUGAGUAUCCCAGGUAGAUUAGAAUGUAUUUACGUUCGUGCUGGGAUGCCGAGUAAAUUUUUUUAUAGUAGCUUUCAGGCUGUUCCGGACUGUUGGGGGCCAUCGGGAUUGACGGUGGACCCGUAUAGCCUUUUUGGCGACGGAUUGUGCCGAGGGCACGUGAUCUAUUAGUUGUUAGACCAGUUAGAGUUGGUUACUUGACCUUAGCCUAUGAGAGCAGUACGAACUUGACAGAGACACUUGCAAACUCGGUUGGGUCGCGCCCACGAAUGCCAUUUCGGAAUGAUGUUUCAGUGCGAUGAGUGUCGCAGUUUCUGUUGGACAGUUCUUGAGCCGGCUACCCUCGGGGUGGUGUACGGCGCAGCUAGAUACAGGUAGGGUGGGUCCGUUUUGGGCAGCCCGGGUGAGAUAGUGAGUGAUGCUUUUCCCUACCUUUAGUGAGGUUGUGACGUGAGUGGAGUCUUAGCCGUCCUGUUGGACCUUUUCUGGAACCGACUACUUUGAGAUACGGUGUAGUCUAAUUAGGCGAGACGGGUGUAUUCACAGUCUUUAGAGAGUUUUCUCCGCCGGUUACUCUUGAGAUACGGUGUAGUCUAGUAGACGAGACGGAUGUAUUCACAGUCUCUAGAGAGUCUUCUCCGCCGAUUACUCUUGAGCUACGGUGUCAACUAACUAGACGGGAUGGGUGUAUUCACAGUCCCUAGAGAGUUUUCUCCACCAGCUACUCCUGGAGUAGGUUACGGGUUCGAUCCGACAGGCGGGACGGGUGUGUUCACAGUCCCUAGUGAGAUUGAGUCAGUUGUGACUUUUACUACAGUUUGUUAGUGUAGAUCAUGCUAGUGUAGCAAUAUGUAGCUAUAGAUUUCUUUCCAGCUUUUCCUGCUAGCCUUGUUACCUUCUGUAGACUUAGUGG